rnacentral:rRNA from 1 species
UACGGAGGGUGCGAGCGUUGCCCGGAAUCACUGGGCGUAAAGGGCGCGUAGGCGGCGCGGGCAGUCAACGGUGAAAGCUCGGGGCUCAACCCCGAGUCGGCCGUCGAUACUCCCGUGCUUGAGCACUGUAGAGGCAGAUGGAAUUCCGGGUGUAGCGGUGAAAUGCGUAGAGAUCCGGAAGAACACCGGUGGCGAAGGCGGUCUGCUGGGCCGAUACUGACGCUGAGGAGCGAAAGCGUGGGGAGCGAACAGG